GUACACAGGCUGGAGAGAUGGCUCAGAGGUUAAGAGCACUGACUGCUCUUCCAGAGGUCCUGAGUUCAAUUCCCAGCAACCACAUGGUGGCUCACAACCAUCUGUGAUGAGAUCUGGUGCCCUCUUCUAGGGUGCAGGCAGAAUACUGUAUACAUAAUAAAUAAACAAAUCU